AUGGCUUGGGCUGAGGCUCCUGUUGACCACCAUGUCGGGCAGACCUUACCACAGGCUGGAUGACUUCCCGCUGAGACCUCUGGCUUUGCAAGCCAGUCUGGCACUUCCACCACCUAACGACAUGAGACAGGGAUGGUGUCACCUGCCUGUUUCAUAGGGGAGUCACAAUGCUUAAUUAACGUAACCAGCAAUAAGGUAGCACCUCACUGCUGUCCUGUCAGUUGGUGAUGUGUGCAGCAGCACAGCUGGAUUGAUGGAGCAAAGCUGGUAACUGAAGUAGCCGUGGCUUGUGCCAGCUAUACUAGGUCCUGGCCCUGCAGGGGAACAGGGGCUGUUUCAAUGCUAAAAGAACAGCCAGAACAGCAGAGAAGCUGCACUGUUAGACAUGCUGCUUUGCAUGUUCCUCUUUCUAGAAAGCAAGGCAUUUGUUGGAAUAGCCCAGCAGACCAACACAUGCUGUAAGAAUAGCUAACUGUUGGUGGGAAAGUUGCCUGGUGCUUCGCUGCAGCACUGAACACCUACUGCUGCUAUCCUGGUUCCCUGUCUAUCCAUUAUUAUCCUGUUUUGAAAUAUUUUGGUUAACGGCCAGGCCAUUGCAUGCUCUCUUGCAGGUAGAAAUUUUGUCCUUUCCCUGUUCUUAACUCACGGAGCUGGGGUUCAAAACUUUUAAAUUGCUUUGCCAGUUCUGCAGAGCAGCCUGUAUUGUCUGAUACUUCAGAUGAAUGUUCCCCCAGUUAUUAACAUGUACCUGCUAAGUUCAUCAGCAGCCUGGGGAUGACUUUUAUCUCUAGAGACAGAGGGAAGUAGCUUGGAAAUUAUACCAUUGUAGUGCCAAUUUUUUUUUUUUUUGUGAUUUUUGAAAACAGCUAAAGAGAUUUGGUAUCUGUGCUUCUGUGCCAUAAGCUAAAUUUGUACUUCAGUAAUGCUUUUGGUUACAAUGAAUUGUGUAUGUGUACCUUGGAAGUAAAAUCUUAUGCUGGUACAAUACUGGAAUGGCUCAAAAACUGGCAGAAUUUGUUUCACUGUUUGCAGGAGGCCGUACUUGGCUGUUAAGCUGGUGCAUCAGGGUGGUCUUGCAGAGUGUCUUCCAACAGAGCUUUGAGAGGAGGCAAAUGACUAAGGCAUGAGUAUGUGUUGCAAAGUGUGUACAUAGAUCAGAUCUGAAGGCUUUGCCUGCAGUUUAGGAAGGCAACUAACACAGGUAUGAAGCUGUGGGGAACUGGAGGGAUGGUGAGACCGGGAGCUGUGACCAGAGCUGCAGCUAUUUACCAUGGCUGUAGAGGUUGAUUUAGGAGACUUUGUGGAGAGAAGAGCAUUGAUACUCCAUGUUGUUUCCUGGGACCAAUGCACGGCUUAGGACUUUAGCAAGGACUUUUCGUCCGACUUUAGCAUUUCAGUGCAACAAACUUCUGAUGUUCUUCUGUACCUCAGGAAGAAGAUGUCUCCCUCCCUGUGGCAGCUGGAUUUUCUUCAUUCCACUUGUGAUACAGAUACAGACAAUUGGCUCCAAAAUGUUAAAGAAAAUCAGGGCACUGUCUUAUGAAUGUAGCUGUUCCUCUGUGGAUGGGACUUAUUCUGGAGUAGAGGAGCCAGCUGUAAAUUUUUUGGCUUUACAGUAGUUUAAACUAAUUUCUCAAGAAUCUAGGUAACUUAAUUGUCGUAGCAGUUGAGAAAAUGCCCUAAAUUAUGGUCAGUUUAGAAAUUCAAAACUUGGAAAUACUGCCUUGUUAUUGUAUUCAAAAUGUUUUCUGUACUGCAUUUCUGUAUGGAGUAAAUAAGCGGUGGAAGGAGAAAAGAAUUGGGGGAAAAUGCAAUAAAUUUAUAACAAAAUGGCAAAACCCAGCUGAAAGCCAUGACAAUCACAUGCAUUACCAUAAAGGAUUUUGUCACCUCUGUCAUGUGCUUUCUUUUCCAAUACCACAGCAUGUCCCCAUCUCACAUUCCAUCUCUGAUGCAAUUUAUCCAUGCAACCAAGAAAUAAUGUUCCCUUCCCUGAGGUACAGGCAAGUCCAGUCAUGGAUUAUAUGCCCUGCUUUCCUCAAGCCACAGCCUCCAGUCAUGUUGGUACAUGGUUUCCCAAUACCAGCCUUGACUUGUCCUUUCCAAGGCUCAGCCACAUGUCCAAAUGGAGGGUAAUCCCCAGCCUCACCCUCUGGCUGCCUCAGUUAUUCUUGAAGGACUUCUCCCAAGUAUAUCCCAGCAGGAUGUGCUGCCCGCCCCUCAGCUGCACAGGUACCUCUGUCUCAGCAAGUGCUGUCUCUCAUUUUGGUCAGAGCUGUAACAGGGGCUCCUCUGAGCUGCAGCAUUCAGUGAUGGGCAAGAGUAUAGUUGGAAAUAACUCAUCUGAAGUAUACUUGUAGAAAAGAUGUAAAGAAAUAGUGUCAAUUCAGUGAUGAGAAGCCUGUAGCCCUUUUAGAUAUGAGAUCAUUCUUACUUGGGGACUCUGUAACACUGUAAAUCGUUUAACUGGUGCUUAACUGAGACUGGAAUCUGACCCCUAAUAUAUGAAAAAUUCCUUAAUUACUAUUAGCAUGGAAAUAAUAGAAAUCAUUAUUUUAAAAUAAUGCUGGCUGAGCUUGCAAAAUUCACAUUCAGAUAGUAAGAAAUGGUAAUUUUAAGUUAAUCAAACAUAAUCAUUCCGCACAAGGGCAUAUCUUACAUUCAGUAAGGCAGGGUUCCUGGGGAAAUUACAAGUGUAAUUAAAACCUGUCUCAUCAUGCAUGCACACAGGGGAGGGCAAGCUGUGAUUGUAAUGGUAACUGCUCCUAGCAGGUGUUUUUCUGUUAAUAUGAGGUAUUAAAUAAAACUUCCCAUGUUUAUUAACCCAAAUACUCUCCUGUAUGCUUCUAACAGUGCCACUGUGAUGUGUUGCAAACAGCCUGAACUUCAACUAAAUCUUUCAGCACAAACUUUUGUCUUCAGAGGUACAAAACUACUUACCUUAGCUGAGACUGUUACAGGAGCCUGGAGCACUGUUGCUGCUGCCAGUUCUUUCGCACUGUGUAGCUCUGGAGGUUGUUAGUUUUCCACGAUGAAGAUCUCAGGCUCAUUACAGCAUGGUGGGGAUCCUCCACAACUUGCGGGGGAGAGGAGAAAACCCUGCCAGAAACACUGUCAUCUGUUGCCUCCAACUGUGAGAGGAUGAAUGUGAUCAACUACGUUUUAAUAAAAGAGAGUCAGAAGGGGAGGAAGCAGAGCUGGAGCUGCGCACCGGCUUUGGACAGUCAGAGCCUGAUGUGUCACUUUAGGAAAGCAAGGUGCUGGGUCUGAAGGAGGGGGAAGCUUGGCUGCACUCUUUCCCUUAUGAUACUUGAUAGUUCCCAGGCAACCCCAGUACUAUGAGACUACAUGAGCUUUUCUAACUUUUAUUUUAAGUUCAUUUGUUAUUUGCUGCCAGAAUUUUCCCAAGGAAUACAGACAAGGAGUGAUAAAUGGUGAUUAAUUUAGACAACCUAAGUAGAGGACUCACAAGGCUCCCCAUGUAAUACAAGAAAGUUAACGGCUUGCUGAUGUCUUUUUCUUAGUGAAUUGUGUAGCCUGGUUGUUUAAUGGAGUGUUUAAAAAUUGUGUUGGCAAUAGCCUAUGAAUAAUGUAUAAUGAAAUACCUUACUGCCAAGAAACUGCUGAUAUGCUGGGGAAAUUUCCAUCAGAUGUGAGAACAAUUUUGAAGGCACUGUCUUCUUGGGAUGCCCUUUAUUUAUAGCCUCACUGCUUCCGAGAUUGCAUUCCCUUUUUAGAUACUGCAUGUGAAGAUGCCCUCCACUGCCUCUGCCUCUGUCUUCCAGCUUCACCUGAUUCGAUUUGCUUGUGUCUGUAAAAGCUCCAGAAUUUUUAUGAGAUUAGGCUUUAUUACCUGAGCACUGUAAGCACAGAAUAUUUCCUGUGCAGUCUUCAUCUGUUCUAGGUGUCUGCAUCAAGGCACACUGCAUCAAAGGAAGAUGGAUGCUGUUUUUGUGUCAUGGCAAUGUCCCAUGAUGCAAGGAAGCAGAAAUAAGGCCAAGUGAUUUGGAAAAAAAAAGAGCAGUUGGACUCUGCAGAGUGAAAUCAACUUUGAUGCCUCUAAAUUUUCCCAUGUCCUCCUCCAGUGCAUGAGGCCUCUGUGUGCUUUGGCCAUGAGUAGAGGGAAGUUGUUGUGAUACUAAGCAACUAAGUCUUGCUUGACCAAAGAAAUGGGAAGGUUGAGAGUAAACCUCUGCUUGCAGAGGAGCUCUGGAUGUUGCACUGCCUUAGGUGCAGGAGGAAACAGGCCUCCUGUUAGACCCCAGGACAUAGCUCAGUCAGGCACAGGAGGCAGUCCCUUUCCUUUGAUCCUUAUUUUGGCCCUCAGCUGCUCUUCAGGAGAAAAUAAAAUCAUAGCUUUGUUUCUCGUGUGAAGUUUUCCCCACCUGCACUGAAAUGCAGAAUUGUAACAGGAGGGCAGGUGAUCACAAUACAUAUGUUAUCAUUGUACAGAGUGUUCUCAGCUAAAUGUAUAUCAAGAGCAGACCCAGCUUGUGGAGCCUGUAGCUCUGUGCCCUGCCCCUACUGUGGCUUUAUUAUGGGUAGCUAAGUGCUCAUGCUACAUUUUUGUGUAUUUACACAAUAGAGCCCUGAGUCAAAACAUUUCCUGCAGUAUGGGUUCUGUAUUAUUACUGUAGUGCUAGAACAAAGCAACACGUGGUUAAUGUUGGUAUUAGUCAGCUGAGGAAAUGACAUCCUCACCUGUGAGGUUGAUGUGACUGGUUUUGAAGUCAUGUGGUGGUGCCAACAGCAAGCUCCAGGCAUGAGGCUACAGGGCAGGAGAAAGAAUGCCUUAGAAGAGAGGUUGUAUCCUUAGGGUGAUCUGCUACUGGCUAAGCAUGAGGAUUUGUGAAAAUGGAAGGGAGGAUUUGCACGUUUUCUGGUUUGUUUGCUGCUGGGAUAUAUCUGGGGGUGGAGUAUUUUCACAGCUCCGGAAAGGUGUAUAAAACGGAUUAGUCUAAACACAAGGUAGGUGUCAAGGAGCACCAGAGGAGUUUGACUGAUGGCCUGAAUGUUUUCAGUAGAACCAAAUAAAGAGAAAAGGUAUCUAAAAUUUCCUCUAAGUCCACCACCCAAACCCCAUCAUGACAGCUGAGAAGUGUUCAGCAGAGACGAUCACAAAGGUCUAGGCUGAGAAUUGUGGUCAAGUUCAAUCAGCAGUUCUCAGGGUAGAAACGCUGCUAGCUGACAGUAUACAUGAAAGAUUAGCUUUCAAAAGGAAGGAGACAAUUCUGUUAUGAAGUUUAUUCCACUGAUGCUUCUGAUGAUCCUAUUAAUUUAUCUUUUU